GGGCGUGUGUGCCGUGUCGUGUUUGUCAUCCUUCCAGAGAGCUGCGUCUACCAUUCACUUGGCCGGACGUACGCGAUCUGGAUCGAUUACUUUGAAAAAAUUAGAGUGUUUAAAGCAGGCUUACGCUGUGAAUACAUUAGCAUGGAAUAAUAAUUUAGGACUUCGGUUCUAUUUUGUUGGUUUCUAGGACUGAAGUAAUGAUUGAUAGGGACAGUUGGGGGUGCUAGUAUUCCGCGGCCAGAGGUGAAAUUCUUGGAUUCGCGGAAGACUAACUACUGCGAAAGCGUUCACCAAGGAUGUCUUCUUUAAUCAAGAACGAAAGUUGGGGGAUCGAAGACGAUCAGAUACCGUCGUAGUCUCAACCAUAAACUAUACCGACUAAGGAUCAGUGAACGUUGAUUUACGACUUCAUUGGCACUUUGUGAGAAAUCAAAGUCUUUGGGUUCCGGGGGGAGUAUGGUCGCAAGGCUGAAACUUAAAGGAAUUGACGGAAGGGCACCACCAGGAGUGGAGCCUGCGGCUUAAUUUGACUCAACACGGGGAAACUCACCAGGUCCAGGCAAAAUAAGGAUUGACAGAUUGAGAGCUCUUUCUUGAUCUUUUGGAUGGUGGUGCAUGGCCGUUCUUAGUUGGUGGAGUGAUUUGUCUGCUUAAUUGCGAUAACGAACGAGACCUCGGCCCUUAAAUAGCCCGGUCCGCGUCUGCGGGCCGCUGGCUUCUUAGGGGGACUAUCGG
rnacentral:rRNA from 1 species